GUUAAGCGACUAAGCGUACACGGUGGAUGCCCUGGCAGUCAGAGGCGAUGAAGGACGUGCUAAUCUGCGAAAAGCGCCGGCGAGGUGAUAUGAACCUUUGACCCGGCGAUGUCCGAAUGGGGAAACCCAGUGCAAUUCGUUGCACUAUCGUUAACUGAAUACAUAGGUUAACGAGGCGAACCGGGGGAACUGAAACAUCUAAGUACCCCGAGGAAAAGAAAUCAACCGAGAUUCCCCCAGUAGCGGCGAGCGAACGGGGAGCAGCCCAGAGUCUGAAUCAGCUUGUGUGUUAGUGGAAGCGUCUGGAAAGUCGCACGGUACAGGGUGACAGUCCCGUACACGAAAGCACACAGGUUGUGAACUCGAAGAGUAGGGCGGGACACGUGGUAUCCUGUCUGAAUAUGGGGGGACCAUCCUCCAAGGCUAAAUACUCCUGACUGACCGAUAGUGAACCAGUACCGUGAGGGAAAGGCGAAAAGAACCCCGGCGAGGGGAGUGAAAAAGAACCUGAAACCGUGUACGUACAAGCAGUGGGAGCACCCUUGUGGUGUGACUGCGUACCUUUUGUAUAAUGGGUCAGCGACUUAUAUUCUGUAGCAAGGUUAACCGUAUAGGGGAGCCGAAGGGAAACCGAGUCUUAACUGGGCGUUAAGUUGCAGGGUAUAGACCCGAAACCCGGUGAUCUAGCCAUGGGCAGGUUGAAGGUUGGGUAACACUAACUGGAGGACCGAACCGACUAAUGUUGAAAAAUUAGCGGAUGACUUGUGGCUGGGGGUGAAAGGCCAAUCAAACCGGGAGAUAGCUGGUUCUCCCCGAAAGCUAUUUAGGUAGCGCCUCGUGAACUCAUCUUCGGGGGUAGAGCACUGUUUCGGCUAGGGGGCCAUCCCGGCUUACCAACCCGAUGCAAACUACGAAUACCGAAGAAUGUUAUCACGGGAGACACACGGCGGGUGCUAACGUCCGUCGUGAAGAGGGAAACAACCCAGACCGCCAGCUAAGGUCCCAAAGUCAUGGUUAAGUGGGAAACGAUGUGGGAAGGCACAGACAGCCAGGAUGUUGGCUUAGAAGCAGCCAUCAUUUAAAGAAAGCGUAAUAGCUCACUGGUCGAGUCGGCCUGCGCGGAAGAUGUAACGGGGCUAAACCAUGCACCGAAGCUGCGGCAGCGACGCGUAUGCGUUGUUGGGUAGGGGAGCGUUCUGUAAGCCGUUGAAGGUGUGCUGUGAGGCAUGCUGGAGGUAUCAGAAGUGCGAAUGCUGACAUAAGUAACGAUAAAGCGGGUGAAAAGCCCGCUCGCCGGAAGACCAAGGGUUCCUGUCCAACGUUAAUCGGGGCAGGGUGAGUCGACCCCUAAGGCGAGGCCGAAAGGCGUAGUCGAUGGGAAACAGGUUAAUAUUCCUGUACUUGGUGUUACUGCGAAGGGGGGACGGAGAAGGCUAUGUUAGCCGGGCGACGGUUGUCCCGGUUUAAGCAUGUAGGCGGAGGUUCCAGGUAAAUCCGGUACCUUUUAACGCUGAGGUGUGAUGACGAGGCACUACGGUGCUGAAGUAACAAAUGCCCUGCUUCCAGGAAAAGCCUCUAAGCAUCAGGUAACAUCAAAUCGUACCCCAAACCGACACAGGUGGUCAGGUAGAGAAUACCAAGGCGCUUGAGAGAACUCGGGUGAAGGAACUAGGCAAAAUGGUGCCGUAACUUCGGGAGAAGGCACGCUGAUAUGUAGGUGAAGCCCCUGCGGGUGGAGCUGAAAUCAGUCGAAGAUACCAGCUGGCUGCAACUGUUUAUUAAAAACACAGCACUGUGCAAACACGAAAGUGGACGUAUACGGUGUGACGCCUGCCCGGUGCCGGAAGGUUAAUUGAUGGGGUUAGCGGCAACGCGAAGCUCUUGAUCGAAGCCCCGGUAAACGGCGGCCGUAACUAUAACGGUCCUAAGGUAGCGAAAUUCCUUGUCGGGUAAGUUCCGACCUGCACGAAUGGCGUAAUGAUGGCCAGGCUGUCUCCACCCGAGACUCAGUGAAAUUGAACUCGCUGUGAAGAUGCAGUGUACCCGCGGCAAGACGGAAAGACCCCGUGAACCUUUACUAUAGCUUGACACUGAACACUGGUCCUUGAUGUGUAGGAUAGGUGGGAGGCUUUGAAGCGUGGACGCCAGUCUGCGUGGAGCCGUCCUUGAAAUACCACCCUUUAAUGGCU
rnacentral:rRNA from 1 species